rnacentral:misc_RNA from 1 species
GAUGAAGAACGUAGCGAAAUGCGAUAAGUAAUAUGAAUUGCAGAAUUCAGUGAAUCAUCGAAUCUUUGAACGCACCUUGCGCCCUUUGGCCAUUCCGAAGGGCAUGCCUGUUUGAGUAUCAUGAACACCUCAACUCUCAUGGCUCGCCAUGAUGAGCUUGGAUUUGGGGGUCUUGCUGGCCUGUGGUCGGCUCCUCUCAAAUGGAUCAGCUUGCCAGUGUUUGGUGGCAUCACAGGUGUGAUAACUAUCUGCGCUUGUGGUUUUCCAUCAGAUAACCUUCAGUGAUGGAGGUUCGCUGGAGCUCAUAAACGUCUCCCCUAAGCGGGGACAGCCCUUUGAAUGUUUGAUCUCAAAUCAGGUAGGACUACCCGCUGAACUUAAGCAUAUCAAUAAGCGGAGGA